GGAUAACUGUGUAAUUCUAGAGCUAAUACGUGCACCAAAGCUGUCCCCUACCGGGGGCAGUGCAUUUGUUGGAGCAAAACCAGGCGGCCUCGGCCGUUUACUAGCUGACCCAGAACAACUAAGCUGAUCGCAUGGGCUUGUCCCGGCGACGUACCGUUCAAGUAUCUGCCUUAUCAACUUUCGAUGGUAGUGUAGUUGCCUACCAUGGUUGUGGCGGGUACCGGAGGAUAAGGGUUCGACUCCGGAGAAGGGGCCUGAGAAAUGGCCACUACGUCUAAGGAUGGCAGCAGGCGCGCAAAUUACCCACUCUCGGUUUGAGGAGGUAGUGACGAAAAAUAACAAGGUGGUUCUCUACGAGGCCCACCAUUGGAAUGGGUACAACCCAAACCCUUUAACGAGUAUCAAUGAGAGGGCAAGUCUGGUGCCAGCAGCCGCGGUAAUUCCAGCUCUCAAAAUGCAUAGAUACAUUGCUGCGGUUAAAAAGCUCGUAGUUGGAUUUGUGCUGGCGUCGUGGUCCACCCGAAAGGGCGGUACUGCGCUCGUCGGCUUUGGGCCGGUCUUCGUCCGGGGGCCUUAACUGGUCCGUCGGCCGUGGCUGGCUGGUUUACUUUGAGCAAAUCAGAGUGCUCAGCACAGGCGUUUCGCCGGAAUGUUCGUCCAUGGAAUAAUAGAACAGGAUCACGGUCCUCUUUUAUUGGUUUUGUGGACUGAGAUAAUGGUUAACAGAGACGAACGGGGGCAUUCGUAUUGCUGCGAGAGAGGUGAAAUUCUUGGACCGCAGCAGGACGGACUACAGCGAACGCAUUUGCCAAGCGUGUCUUCAUUACUCAAGAGCGAAAGUCAGAGGUUCGAAGGCGAUCAGAUACCGCCCUAGUUCUGACCGUAAACGAUGCCAACUAGCGAUCCGCCGGCGGCUCUACGGCCCUGGUGGGGAGCUUCCCGGAAACGAAAGUCUUCCGGUUCCGGGGGAAGUAUGGUUGCAAAGCUGAAACUUAAAGGAAUUGACGGAAGGGCACCACCAGGAGUGGAGCCUGCGGCUUAAUUUGACUCAACACGGGAAAACUCACCCGGCCCGGACACCGUGAGGAUUGACAGAUUGAUAGCUUUUUCAUGAUUCGGUGGUUGGUGGUGCAUGGCCGUUCUUAGUUCGUGGAUCGAUUUGUCUGGUUUAUUCCGAUAACGAGCGAGACUCCAGCCUACUAACUAGUACGGGCAUUGCCUCUGUGCCCGGCACUUCUUAGAGGGAUUGGCUGCGUCUAGCGGCACGAAACGGAGCAAUAACAGGUCUGUGAUGCCCUUAGAUGUCCGGGGCUGCACGCGCGCUACACUGGCAAAGGCAGCGUGCUUGUCCGUCUCCGAAAGGAGCCGGUAAACCCUUGAAAAUUUGCCGUGAUUGGGAUCGGAAAUUGCAAUUAUUUUCCGUGAACGAGGAAUUCCUAGUAAGUGCGAGUCAUCAGCUCGCGUUGAUUACGUCCCUGCCCUUUGUACACACCGCCCGUCGCUGCCUAGAACUGAGCCAUUUCGAGAAUAUUCGGGAUCGCUGGUUGCGUGUCCUUCGGGGCAUGCCUCCGGCCAGAGAACGAACGUAAUCGCAGUGGCUUGAACCGGGCAAAAGUCGUAACAAGGUAGCUGUAGGUGAACCUGCUGCUGGAUCAUUACCUUGUCGAUACGACAAAGU
rnacentral:rRNA from 1 species